GCCGGCGUAGCUCAGAUGGCAGAGCAGCUGAUUCGUAAUCAGCAGGUCGACGGUUCAAUUCCGCCCGCCGGCUCCA
rnacentral:tRNA from 1 species